UACGUAGGGGGCAAGCGUUGUCCGGAUUUAUUGGGCGUAAAGAGCGUGUAGGCGGCUAGAUAGGUCCGUUGUGAAAACUUGAGGCUCAACCUCGAGAUGUCAUCGGAAACCAUCUGGCUAGAGUCCGGAAGAGGAGAGUGGAAUUCCUGGUGUAGCGGUGAAAUGCGCAGAUAUCAGGAAGAACACCAAUGGCGAAAGCAGCUCUCUGGGACGGUACUGACGCUGAGACGCGAAAGCGUGGGGAGCGAACAGG
rnacentral:rRNA from 1 species